rnacentral:sRNA from 1 species
UGUGUUGCGUACACGGGCAUCUGAGUA